ensembl:lncRNA
GUCCAAGCCAUUCUCCUCUAUGUGUGUGUGACCAUGGAAGGGAUGGGUUUGGGUUUGUUUCCCUCGGUUCCAGCAACUAGAACGUCUUCCAGGCCUUCUUACCAUUCCUGGGGCUCUUCUGCGUGUUCAGGACCAGUGUCGGCCUUUCAGCCAGAGGGCCCUUGGGUUUGUCUCCUUCUCACACCUCACCCCUGUCUGGGCACCACUUCUGUUUGGAGUCCCUGUGCUGGUCGUCACUCUUUACCUGCCACAAACCUCUCCUCUGGCUGCUCUUCAGCACCGUUUGUCUUCAUGUGCUGCAAUGGCAUCUCAGCAGCUCCUGCAGCGUUGAGGCAGAGAUGCAAAUCCCUGGCAAGAGGUUUCAGGAAUCCUGUUCUGCUGCUGUGCUAAACGCUGUCCCGCCCCACACGGAGCACAACUUUCUC